rfam:Streptomyces clavuligerus ATCC 27064 chromosome, whole genome shotgun sequence.
CUUCAGCGAACCGAUCCACAGCGGACGGUCGGCGGGGCGUUCGCUGCCGUAGGCCGCCAGCAGUGCCUGUGCCUC